ACAGGCUCCAUGCACCGGGAGCCCGACGUGGGAUUCGAUCCCGGGUCUCCAGGAUCGCGCCCUGGGCCAAAGGCAGGCGCCAAACCGCUGCGCCACCCAGGGAUCCCUGAGUUUGUCUUUCUUGAGAGCAAGGACACUUGGGGGAAAUUCUAAGAGUAUGAGUGAAGAUGCAGGGACAGAUCUGGAAGCAUCUUUGCUAAGUUUUGAAAAACUUGACCGUGCCUCACCAGACCUUUGGCCUGAACAAUUACCAGGUGUCGCUGAAUUUGCAGCUUCCUUUAAAAGUCCUAUUACUAGCUCUCCACCCAAAUGGAUGGCUGAAAUAGAACGUGAUGACAUUGACAUGUUGAAAGAACUGGGGAGCCUCACCACAGCUAAUCUGAUGGAGAAGGUACGAGGCCUACAGAACUUGGCCUAUCAGCUGGGGCUGGAUGAGUGUUUUUCUGCCUGUAGUCAUCAAAUGCCAGCUGAGAAACAUUGAUAAGCAUAGCCUCAACAGCCAUCAUUAUAUGAGUACCUACUAAUAGGUACUGUGCUAAGUGCUUUAAAUGCAUAGUUUCCAAAGCCUCACAACUACACUGACUAGAGAGAUGACACGGGGGAAGUUUCUCAACAUUCUGGAGAAACCCAAGAAGUAGCAGCUGCUUGUGGACAGGAUGUCCUGGAGACUGGAACCAUGCUCCCCUCCCAGUGCAGCUCUGACGUCGUGCAACUCUCUGCUUCCUGGUGAGAGGCCGGAGGAUGCACCUCCAGGACUGACCCUCUCCCCUGCUCAUGGCACUCUGCACGUCUGCAGACACUCGGUGGCAAGAGAGGAAUCUGCUCCAUAGAUUCUCUACAGAAGGAUCAGUGUAGUUAUUCAGUCAGCUUUCAGACUUUGACCAUCUCAGCCUUGGAUGUGGGUAACAGCUGAGGGCACAUCUUUCUUAAAGGUCAAAGUCCUGCUCUCUCGUUUCAGAAGGGAUUCAGGAGUCCCAGGAUCUUAGGGUUGAUUUGAUUCAGUGAAGGCAAAGUCAGUUGUGACACGUUGAUUGGAUGGGUUCUUUUGACUUGUACUUGAUAUCAUAGGAAGUGUUUAUGGUGCGAGGAGACCAGAAACCAAUUAGAUUCUGAAACAGACCAGGCAGCCUGACCUGUGAACUCUCCAAUAUAUAUAUAUUGGGUUCCAAGAAUCCCCAGCUGGAGAAGCUAGAAUCUUCUUGAAAUGUACACCUCCUUUAAAAAUUCUGUACCUCUCACAAUAGUCCCAUUCCCCAGUGCCUUUUGUUCCCCACCAUCAGUUUUAAUUUCAGGAUAGGGGAUCCCUAUGUAGCAGGUCCCUCCUGGGAUAAGCUAAUGAGAGGCCCUUGCAAGGUUGCAUUGGGUUCUAGACCUCAAGACCAAGUUAAAGAUGAAAGGACUUUUGAGUUCCAGCUAAUCUGUUACAGACUCACACAAGAAAGUCAGUAUGGCCUUAAAGGUAGGAGAAAGGGAUUGUUUGCAGGAGUUCCCAUUUGAUUAAAAAACUGGAAACUCUAAUUGACCUGAAAAGAAUGUGCUGUAUUUUACCCCGCCCCCCCGCCCAUGUCCCCUCUCAUAGCACACAGCAGAUAAUUCACCAAUGUCACAGAAGUACACACACACAUGAAAGGAAAGAAUUUUCUGACUUAAAUACAGUUCUUAUGGAGCUCUUUGCCAGUUAUCUGUGUUAAAACCUGAAAACCUAACCCAUGCAUAAAAUUGAUUAUACAUGUUCUCCGUAUUUUGUCUCAUAAGCCAGCCCCCAGCCUCUGAUGUUUUGAGAAAUACAUGAGGCUUCCUAGCCUUCAUGCAACGAACCUCCAUGUGGCAGCUGUCUGACUGUGUUUAGACACAAGGAAAGUUGUCCUGAGUGUCUGUGCUAGGGUGCAGCAUUAUUCAGUCUAAUAGCUGGUCUAUUAACCAUUUCUGACAUUUGUGCCUUGUUUCCCAUGCUAGAAUUAACAUUGGGUUUUUCUCAUUUUUGCUAUCCAUGCGAUUCUAUGUAUUGAUAAGGGGAAAAGUUGAAAGUGAGUCACGAAGAAUGGGUAUGAGAAAGAAACCAUUCUACCUGGAUGUGUUAUAGAAAUUUAGGCUGGAGAGGCAUAGAUUUUAAGUUAAGCUUAUUAUUGACAUUCCUUUUUCUCUAAAUACGGUUGAAGUGGGAGAGAGAGAGAGUAGGAAGGGAGGAAAGGGCAAUAAAUAGUGCCAUAACGUCGGAUUCUUCCUUUUGCUCUGUUUUUGAGAGUUGAUGACUUCAGGCACUUUUAGGUGUGUGGGGAAAUUGAGAAAUACAUGGAGAAUAUGAGGAUACCUCCCCAAAACCAACUCAGGUGUGUAACCCAAGGCUAUGUAGUUGGUUUUCUGGUCUGCUUUGGCCUUUCUUUUAUUGUCAUCUUACUCACCAGCACUUAAUAUAAGUAGAUGUUUUAGAAUUGUGAUAUUUAUUGGUUUUGUAUUUGUCAUCCUUAGAAAUGUUAAUGAUGUAUUUUUAUAUUGAUAAUAUAAAUGGAUGUAUAAUGUGUGUGUGGACUUCAGGGUAUUAGAGUACUGUGCUUUGUAUAUGAUGGUUUCUGUGUUGUCAUAAUAAAUAUGUCCCUUUUAUAGAA